AGCGAACAGAUGAGAAGCUUGCUUCUCUGAUGUUAGCGGCGGACGGGUGAGUAACACGUGGGUAACCUACCUAUAAGACUGGGAUAACUCCGGGAAACCGGGGCUAAUACCGGAUAAUAUUUUGAACCGCAUGGUUCAAUAGUGAAAGACGGUUUCGGCUGUCACUUAUAGAUGGACCCGCGCCGUAUUAGCUAGUUGGUAAGGUAACGGCUUACCAAGGCGACGAUACGUAGCCGACCUGAGAGGGUGAUCGGCCACACUGGAACUGAGACACGGUCCAGACUCCUACGGGAGGCAGCAGUAGGGAAUCUUCCGCAAUGGGCGAAAGCCUGACGGAGCAACGCCGCGUGAGUGAUGAAGGUCUUCGGAUCGUAAAACUCUGUUGUUAGGGAAGAACAAAUUUGUUAGUAACUGAACAAGUCUUGACGGUACCUAACCAGAAAGCCACGGCUAACUACGUGCCAGCAGCCGCGGUAAUACGUAGGUGGCAAGCGUUAUCCGGAAUUAUUGGGCGUAAAGCGCGCGUAGGCGGUUUCUUAAGUCUGAUGUGAAAGCCCACGGCUCAACCGUGGAGGGUCAUUGGAAACUGGGAAACUUGAGUGCAGAAGAGGAGAGUGGAAUUCCAUGUGUAGCGGUGAAAUGCGCAGAGAUAUGGAGGAACACCAGUGGCGAAGGCGGCUCUCUGGUCUGUAACUGACGCUGAUGUGCGAAAGCGUGGGGAUCAAACAGGAUUAGAUACCCUGGUAGUCCACGCCGUAAACGAUGAGUGCUAAGUGUUAGGGGGUUUCCGCCCCUUAGUGCUGCAGCUAACGCAUUAAGCACUCCGCCUGGGGAGUACGACCGCAAGGUUGAAACUCAAAGGAAUUGACGGGGACCCGCACAAGCGGUGGAGCAUGUGGUUUAAUUCGAAGCAACGCGAAGAACCUUACCAAAUCUUGACAUCCUUUGACCGCUCUAGAGAUAGAGUCUUCCCCUUCGGGGGACAAAGUGACAGGUGGUGCAUGGUUGUCGUCAGCUCGUGUCGUGAGAUGUUGGGUUAAGUCCCGCAACGAGCGCAACCCUUAAGCUUAGUUGCCAUCAUUAAGUUGGGCACUCUAGGUUGACUGCCGGUGACAAACCGGAGGAAGGUGGGGAUGACGUCAAAUCAUCAUGCCCCUUAUGAUUUGGGCUACACACGUGCUACAAUGGAUAAUACAAAGGGCAGCGAAUCCGCGAGGCCAAGCAAAUCCCAUAAAAUUAUUCUCAGUUCGGAUUGUAGUCUGCAACUCGACUACAUGAAGCUGGAAUCGCUAGUAAUCGUAGAUCAGCAUGCUACGGUGAAUACGUUCCCGGGUCUUGUACACACCGCCCGUCACACCACGAGAGUUUGUAACACCCGAAGCCGGUGGAGUAA
rnacentral:rRNA from 2 species